rnacentral:rRNA from 1 species
ACGUAGGGUGCAAGCGUUAAUCGGAAUUACUGGGCGUAAAGUGUGCGCAGGCGGCCGAGCAAGUCGAGUGUGAAAGCCCCGAGCUUAACUUGGGAAUUGCGCUCGAAACUACUUGGCUGGAGUGUGGCAGAGGAAGGUGGAAUUCCAGGUGUAGCGGUGAAAUGCGUAGAGAUCUGGAGGAACACCGAUAGCGAAGGCAGCCUUCUGGGCCAACACUGACGCUCAUGCACGAAAGCGUGGGGAGCAAACAGGA